rnacentral:rRNA from 1 species
GUAGGGUCCGAGCGUUGUCCGGAAUUAUUGGGCGUAAAGAGCUCGUAGGCGGUCUGUUGCGUCGGCUGUGAAAACCUGGGGCUCAACUCCAGGCCUGCAGUCGAUACGGGCAGACUAGAGUUCGGUAGGGGAGACUGGAAUUCCUGGUGUAGCGGUGAAAUGCGCAGAUAUCAGGAGGAACACCGGUGGCGAAGGCGGGUCUCUGGGCCGAUACUGACGCUGAGGAGCGAAAGCGUGGGGAGCGAACAGGAUUAGAUACCCUGGUAGUCCACGCCGUAAACGUUGGGCGCUAGGUGUGGGGGGUUAUCCACUCCCUCCGUGCCGCAGCUAACGCAUUAAGCGCCCCGCCUGGGGAGUACGGCCGCAAGGCUAAA